AUUGAACGCUGGCGGCAUGCCUUACACAUGCAAGUCGAACGGCAGCACGGGAGCACUCCUGGUGGCGAGUGGCGAACGGGUGAGUAAUAAAUCGGAACGUGCACAGUAGUGGGGGAUAGCCCGGCGAAAGCCGGAUUAAUACAGCAUACGACCUGAGGGUGAAAGCGGGGGAUCGCAAGACCUCGCGCUAUUGGAGCGGCCGAUGUCGGACGAGCUAGUUGGUGGGGUAAAGGCUCACCAAGGCAACGAUCCGGAGCUGGCCUGAGAGGACGACCACCCACACCGGGACUGAGACACGGCCCAGACCCCUACGGGGGGCAGCAGUGGGGAAUUUUGGACAAGGGGCGCAAGCCUGAUCCAGCCAUGCCGCGUGCGGGAAGAAGGCCUUCGGGUUGUAAACCGCUUUUGUCAGGGAAGAAACGCUCAGGGCUAAUACCCCGGGGUAAUGACGGUACCUGAAGAAUAAGCACCGGCUAACUACGUGCCAGCAGCCGCCGUAACAC
rnacentral:rRNA from 1 species